rnacentral:tRNA from 1 species
CCUGUCAUCGUCUAGUGGUUAGGACACCAGGUUUUGACUUGUAGGUGUUGAUCCCUGGGCGUCCUGGUAACUUGGGUUCGACUCCCAAUGACAGGU